rnacentral:tRNA from 1 species
AAGAUUUUAGGUUAAUAUUAAACCUUCUUCCUUCAAAGUAGAAAAGAAAAGUUAAAAUCUUUUAAAUCUUA